rnacentral:rRNA from 1 species
UACAGAGGGUGCAAGCGUUAAUUGGAAUUACUGGGCGUAAAGCGUGCGUAGACGGUUAUGUAAGUCAGAUGUGAAAGCCCCGGGCUUAACCUGGGAAUGGCAUUUGAGACUGCAUAGCUAGGGUGCGGAAGAGGGAAGCGGAAGUUUCCGGUGUAGCGGUGAAAUGCGUAGAUAUCGGAAGGAACACCAGUGGCGAAAGCGGCUUCCUGGUCCCAGCACCGACGUUCAGGCACGAAAGCGUGGGGAGCAAACAGG